rnacentral:rRNA from 1 species
UACGGAGGGGGCGAGCGUUAUUCGGAAUUAUUGGGCGUAAAGGGCGCGUAGGCGGCUGUGUAAGUCAAAGGUGAAAUCCCUCGGCUCAACUGAGGAACUGCCUUUGAAACUGCUCAGCUUGAGGCCGGGAGGGGGUGGUGGAAUUCCCAGUGUAGCGGUGAAAUGCGUAGAUAUUGGGAGGAACACCAGUGGCGAAGGCGGCCACCUGGACCGGUUCUGACGCUGAGGCGCGAAAAGCGUGGGUAGCAAACAGG